rnacentral:sRNA from 1 species
UAAUGGCAUGAAAUACCAAGAAAUCAAUGGUAGACUUGUACCCGAAGGACCAACACCUGACUCUUCAGAAGGAAACUUAUCUUAUCUUAGUAGUUUAUCCCAUCUUAACAACUUACCCCGUCUUACAACCAGUUCCUCUUUCAGAACCAGUCCUGAAAAUGAAACCGAACUAAUUAAAGAACAUGAUCUCUUCUUUAAAGCAGUCAGUCUCUGUCACACUGUACAGAUUAGCAGUGUUCAAACUGACUGCAUUGGUGAUGGUCCCUGGCAAUCCAACCUGGCACCCUCGCAGUUGGAGUACUAUGCAUCUUCACCAGAUGAAAAGGCUCUAGUAGAAGCUGCUGCAAGGAUUGGUAUUGUGUUUAUUGGCAAUUCUGAAGAAACUAUGGAAGUUAAAACUCUUGGAAAACUGGAACGGUACAAACUGCUUCAUAUUCUGGAAUUUGAUUCAGAUCGUAGGAGAAUGAGUGUAAUUGUUCAGGCACCUUCAGGUAACCAAUCUAAACUUUCAUGAAGUUUUGUUUAUGUAAUAUUAAAAGUUUGAUAACUCAUUUUUUUUGUCUCUAGGUGAGAAGUUAUUAUUUGCUAAAGGAGCUGAGUCAUCAAUUCUCCCUAAAUGUAUAGGUGGAGAAAUAGAAAAAACCAGAAUUCAUGUAGAUGAAUUUGCUUUGAAAGGACUAAGAACUCUGUGUAUAGCAUAUAGAAAAUUUACAUCAAAAGAAUAUGAGGAAAUAGAUAAACGCAUAUUUGAAGCCAGGACUGCCUUGCAGCAGCGGGAAGAGAAAUUGGCAGAUGUUUUCCAGUUCAUAGAGAAAGACCUGAUAUUACUUGGAGCCACAGCAGUAGAAGACAGACUACAAGAUAAAGUUCGAGAAACUAUUGAAGCAUUGAGAAUGGCUGGUAUCAAAGUAUGGGUACUUACUGGAGAUAAACAUGAAACAGCUGUUAGUGUGAGUUUAUCGUGUGGCCAUUUUCAUAGAACCAUGAACAUCCUUGAACUUAUAAACCAGAAAUCAGACAGCGAAUGUGCUGAACAAUUGAGGCAGCUUGCCAGAAGAAUUACAGAGGAUCAUGUGAUUCAGCAUGGGCUGGUAGUGGAUGGGACCAGCCUAUCUCUUGCACUCAGGGAGCAUGAAAAACUAUUUAUGGAAGUUUGCAGAAAUUGUUCAGCUGUAUUAUGCUGUCGUAUGGCUCCACUGCAGAAAGCAAAAGUAAUAAGACUAAUAAAAAUAUCACCUGAGAAACCUAUAACAUUGGCUGUUGGUGAUGGUGCUAAUGACGUAAGCAUGAUACAAGAAGCCCAUGUUGGCAUAGGAAUCAUGGGUAAAGAAGGAAGACAGGCUGCAAGAAACAGUGACUAUGCAAUAGCCAGAUUUAAGUUCCUCUCCAAAUUGCUUUUUGUUCAUGGUCAUUUUUAUUAUAUUAGAAUAGCUACCCUUGUACAGUAUUUUUUUUAUAAGAAUGUGUGCUUUAUCACGCCCCAGUUUUUAUAUCAGUUCUACUGUUUGUUUUCUCAGCAAACAUUGUAUGACAGCGUGUACCUGACUUUAUACAAUAUUUGUUUUACUUCCCUGCCUAUUCUGAUAUAUAGUCUUUUGGAACAGCAUGUAGACCCUCAUGUAUUACAAAAUAAGCCCACCCUUUAUCGAGACAUUAGUAAAAACCGCCUCUUAAGUAUUAAAACGUUUCUUUAUUGGACCAUCCUGGGUUUCAGUCACGCCUUUAUUUUCUUUUUUGGAUCCUAUUUACUAAUAGGGAAAGAUACAUCUCUGCUUGGAAAUGGCCAGAUGUUUGGAAACUGGACAUUUGGCACUUUGGUCUUCACAGUCAUGGUUAUUACAGUCACAGUAAAGAUGGCUCUGGAAACUCAUUUUUGGACUUGGAUCAACCAUCUCGUUACCUGGGGAUCUAUUAUAUUUUAUUUUGUAUUUUCCUUGUUUUAUGGAGGGAUUCUCUGGCCAUUUUUGGGCUCCCAGAAUAUGUAUUUUGUGUUUAUUCAGCUCUUAUCAAGUGGUUCUGCUUGGUUUGCCAUAAUCCUCAUGGUUGUUACAUGUCUAUUUCUUGAUAUUGUAAAGAAGGUAUUUGACCGACACCUCCACCCUACAAGUACUGAAAAGGCACAGCUUACUGAAACAAAUGCAGGUAUCAAGUGCUUGGAAUCCAUGUGCUGUUUCCCGGAAGGAGAAGCAGCGUGCGCAUCUGUUGGAAGAAUGCUGGAACGAGUUAUAGGAAGAUGUAGUCCGACCCACAUCAGCAGGUGUGAAAUCUCUCUAAGUAGCCUUUGCUGCAGAUGAGUAUCCUAUCUGGAACAGGAUGAACCUGCAGCUCUAGAUACCUAAUAAAUCAGCAGCUGGUUUUACCAACUG